rnacentral:rRNA from 1 species
UACAGAGGGUGCAAGCGUUAAUCGGAAUUACUGGGCGUAAAGGGUGCGUAGGUGGUUAGGUAAGUUAAGUGUGAAAGCCCCGGGCUCAACCUGGGAAUGCCGCUUAAUACUGCCUAACUAGAGUAUUGUAGAGGAAAGUGGAAUUUCCGGUGAUGACGGUGAAAUGCGAUAGAGAUCGGAAAGAACACCAACGGCGAAAGCACUCUGCUGGGCCGACACUGACACUGAGAGACGAAAGCUAGGGGAGCGAAUGGG